rnacentral:rRNA from 1 species
GAGGGUUUGAUCCUGGCUCAGGAUGAACGCUAGCUACAGGCUUAACACAUGCAAGUCGAGGGGAAACGGCAUUGAGUGCUUGCACUCUUUGGACGUCGACCGGCGCACGGGUGAGUAACGCGUAUCCAACCUUCCCAUUACUGUGGGAUAACCUGCCGAAAGGCAGACUAAUACCGCAUAGUCUUCGAUGACGGCAUCAGAUUUGAAGUAAAGAUUUAUCGGUAAUGGAUGGGGAUGCGUCUGAUUAGCUUGUUGGCGGGGUAACGGCCCACCAAGGCAACGAUCAGUAGGGGUUCUGAGAGGAAGGUCCCCCACAUUGGAACUGAGACACGGUCCAAACUCCUACGGGAGGCAGCAGUGAGGAAUAUUGGUCAAUGGACGGAAGUCUGAACCAGCCAAGUAGCGUGCAGGAUGACGGCCCUAUGGGUUGUAAACUGCUUUUGUAUGGGGAUAAAGUUAGGGACGUGUCCCUAUUUGCAGGUACCAUACGAAUAAGGACCGGCUAAUUCCGUGCCAGCAGCCGCGGUAAUACGGAAGGUCCAGGCGUUAUCCGGAUUUAUUGGGUUUAAAGGGAGCGUAGGCUGGAGAUUAAGUGUGUUGUGAAAUGUAGACGCUCAACGUCUGAAUUGCAGCGCAUACUGGUUUCCUUGAGUACGCACAACGUUGGCGGAAUUCGUCGUGUAGCGGUGAAAUGCUUAGAUAUGACGAAGAACUCCGAUUGCGAAGGCAGCUGACGGGAGCGCAACUGACGCUUAAGCUCGAAGGUGCGGGUAUCAAACAGGAUUAGAUACCCUGGUAGUCCGCACAGUAAACGAUGGAUGCCCGC